rnacentral:rRNA from 2 species
CCUAAAUACUAAUACCAGAUCGAUAGUGCACAAGUACCGUGAGGGAAAGGUGAAAAGAACUGAGGUGAUCAGAGUGAAAUAGAACCUGAAACCAUUUGCUUACAAUCAUUCAGAGCCCUAUGUAGCAAUACAGGGUGAUGGACUGCCUUUUGCAUAAUGAGCCUGCGAGUUGUGGUGUCUGGCAAGGUUAAGCAAACGCGAAGCCGUAGCGAAAGCGAGUCUGAAUAGGGCGCUUAGUCAGAUGCUGCAGACCCGAAACGAAGUGAUCUAUCCAUGAGCAAGUUGAAGCUAGUGUAAGAACUAGUGGAGGACUGAACCCAUAGGCGUUGAAAAGCCCCGGGAUGACUUGUGGAUAGGGGUGAAAGGCCAAUCAAACUUCGUGAUAGCUGGUUCUCUCCGAAAUAUAUUUAGGUAUAGCGUUGUGUCGUAAUAUAAGGGGGUAGAGCACUGAAUGGGCUAGGGCAUACACCAAUGUACCAAACCCUAUCAAACUCCGAAUACCUUAUAUGUAAUCACAGCAGUCAGGCGGCGAGUGAUAAAAUCCGUCGUCAAGAGGGAAACAACCCAGACUACCAGCUAAGGUCCCUAAAUCUUACUUAAGUGGAAAACGAUGUGAAGUUACUUAAACAACCAGGAGGUUGGCUUAGAAGCAGCCAUCCUUUAAAGAAAGCGUAAUAGCUCACUGGUCUAGUGAUUUUGCGCGGAAAAUAUAACGGGGCUAAAGUAAGUACCGAAGCUGUAGACUUGCGCACAACUUAGAUUAUUUAAGUUUAGAAUAUGAGAAACUAAGUUAUAUGUUUAGUUAUAUUUUUACUGAUUUUUAUAGAGUAAAGAUAGAAAUAAAACUUAGUAAAAUCAGUAAAAAUAUUCUUAGACUAAAGUUAAGUAGUUUAAGUUGUGUGCAAGUGGUAGGAGAGCGUUCUAUUUGCGUCGAAGGUAUACCGGUAAGGAGUGCUGGAGCGAAUAGAAGUGAGCAUGCAGGCAUGAGUAGCGAUAAUUAAUGUGAGAAUCAUUAACGCCGUAAACCCAAGGUUUCCUACGCGAUGCUCGUCAUCGUAGGGUUAGUCGGGUCCUAAGUCGAGUCCGAAAGGGGUAGACGAUGGCAAAUUGGUUAAUAUUCCAAUACCAACAUUAGUGUGCGAUGGAAGGACGCUUAGGGCUAAGGGGGCUAGCGGAUGGAAGUGCUAGUCUAAGGUCGUAGGAGGUUAUACAGGCAAAUCCGUAUAACAAUACUCCGAGAACUGAAAGGCUUUUUGAAGUCUUCGGAUGGAUAGAAGAACCCCUGAUGCCGUCGAGCCAAGAAAAGUUUCUAAGUUUAGCUAAUGUUGCCCGUACCGUAAACCGACACAGGUGGGUGGGAUGAGUAUUCUAAGGCGCGUGGAAGAACUCUCUUUAAGGAACUCUGCAAAAUAGCACCGUAUCUUCGGUAUAAGGUGUGGUUCGCUUCGUAUUAGGAUUUACUCCGAAAGCGAAGAAACUUACAACAAAGAGUCCCUCCCGACUGUUUACCAAAAACACAGCACUCUGCUAACUCGUAAGAGGAUGUAUAGGGUGUGACGCCUGCCCGGUGCUCGAAGGUUAAUUGAUGGGGUUAGCAUUAGCGAAGCUCUUGAUCGAAGCCCGAGUAAACGGCGGCCGUAACUAUAACGGUCCUAAGGUAGCGAAAUUCCUUGUCGGUUAAAUACCGACCUGCAUGAAUGGCGUAACGAGAUGGGAGCUGUCUCAAAGAGGGAUCCAGUGAAAUUGUAGUGGAGGUGAAAAUUCCUCCUACCCGCGGCAAGACGGAAAGACCCCGUGGACCUU